GUCUCUGAAGUCCAAAGAAUAAAAGAAAGAUUGUGUCAGGAUCAGGGUGAAAGGGGAAAUUGCCAAUCCAAGAACCAGCAACUCUGAAGAGAACUUGCAGGACAGCUAGUCUUGCAGUCUUGAGUUGUAGGAGCUUUGCCCAUGUUUCCACCUAUGAUGAGGACAGCCCUGCAAAAUCAGCAUGAUAACUUAAAUCUGCAAAAAGGACAAAGAUAAACAGCCUUGCUCCAAGUGCUGUUUGACCAUCUCAGUUCCUUCACAAUGAUGCACUGCAUGAGUCUCUGAAGUCCAAAGAAUAAAAGAAAGAUUGUGUCAGGAUCAGAGUGAAAGGGGAAAUUGACAAUCCAAGAACCAGCAACUCUGAAGAGAACUUGCAGGAGAGCUGCAAGUAUAUUAUACUACACAAAUAUUUACAGUGUAUUAACUGAACAUUAGAAUGCCAUGGACGUGCAGAACAUUUAAACACUGGAUACGUUUAUGUAUUGUCACUUAUUUUCUUUGCUUGCUUGCGACUGGAAACUGUAGGUCUGGACUGUUGAACACUU